AACCCAUGUUGAGGACAUUUUCGAAGGAGAUCCAUGAAAUUUUCCCAUCUCUCAAAGAGAGACUCCAAUUAUAUUUGCACAAAGGAGGAUAUCUCAUUCCUAAGCUU